UACGAAGGGGGCUAGCGUUGCUCGGAAUUACUGGGCGUAAAGCGCACGUAGGCGGAUUGUUAAGUCGGGGGUGAAAUCCUGGAGCUCAACUCCAGAACUGCCUUCGAUACUGGCGAUCUCGAGUUCGGGAGAGGUGAGUGGAACUGCGAGUGUAGAGGUGAAAUUCGUAGAUAUUCGCAAGAACACCAGUGGCGAAGGCGGCUCACUGGCCCGAUACUGACGCUGAGGUGCGAAAGCGUGGGAGCAACAGGGAUUAAGA
rnacentral:rRNA from 1 species